rnacentral:rRNA from 1 species
AGAGUAGUUUGAUCAUGGCUACAGAACGAACGCUGGCGGCAGGCUUAACACAUGCAAGUCGAACGGGCGUAGCAAUACGUCAGUGGCAGACGGGUGAGUAACACGUGGGAACCUUCCUAGGGGUACGGAACAACUCAGGGAAACUUGAGCUAAUACCGUAUACGUCCGUGAGGAGAAAGAUUUAUCGCCCUUAGACGGGCCCGCGUCGGAUUAGCUAGUUGGUGGGGUAACGGCCUACCAAGGCGACGAUCCGUAGCUGAUCUGAGAGGAUGAUCAGCCACACUGGGACUGAGACACGGCCCAGACUCCUACGGGAGGCAGCAGUGGGGAAUCUUGGACAAUGGGCGCAAGCCUGAUCCAGCCAUGCCGCGUGAGUGAAGAAGGCCUUCGGGUUGUAAAGCUCUUUUGUCAGGGACGAUAAUGACGGUACCUGAAGAAUAAGCCCCGGCAAACUUCGUG